AACGAACGCUGGCGGCAUGCCUAACACAUGCAAGUCGAACGAGACCUUCGGGUUUAGUGGCGCACGGGUGCGUAACGCGGGGGAACCUGCCCGUAGGUUCGGAAUAACUCCCCGAAAGGGGUGCGAAUACCGGAGAAUGUCUUCGGACCAAAGAUUUAUCGCCUUUGGAUGGGCCCGCGUUGGAUUAGCUAGUUGGGAGGGUAAAAGCCUACCAAGGCGACGAUCCAUAGCUGGUUUGAGAGGAUGAGCCGCCACACUGGGACUGAGACACGGCCCAGACUCCUACGGGAGGCAGCAGUGGGGAAUAUUGGACUAUGGGCGAUGGCCUGAACCAGCACUGCCGCGUGAGUGAUGAAGGCCUUAGGGUUGUAAAGCUCUUUUACCCGGGAUGAUAAUGACGGUACCGGGAGAAUAAGCUCCGGCUAACUCCGUG
rnacentral:rRNA from 1 species